UACGUAGGAGGCGAGCGUUAUCCGGAUUUACUGGGCGUAAAGCGGGCGUAGGCGGCCUGUCAAGUCCGAUGUGAAAUCUCCCGGCUUAACUGGGAGGGGUCAUCAGAAACUGAUGGGCUGGAGUGCAGCAGAGGAAGAUGGAAUUCCCGGUGUAGUGGUGAAAUGCGUAGAUAUCGGGAGGAACACUAGUGGCGAAGGCGGUCUUCUGGGCUGUAACUGACGCUGAGGUCCGAAGGUGCGGGGAGCAAACAGG
rnacentral:rRNA from 1 species